rnacentral:rRNA from 1 species
UAGAGUUUGAUCCUGGCUCAGGAUGAACGCUAGCUACAGGCUUAACACAUGCAAGUCGAGGGGCAGCGGUAUCGAAAGCUUGCUUUCGGUAGCCGGCGACCGGCGCACGGGUGAGUAACGCGUAUCGAACCUGCCUCAUACUCGGGAAUAGCCUUGCGAAAGUAAGAUUAAUGCCCGGUGUUUUCAGAGUCCCGCAUGAGGCUUUGAACAAAGAUUUAUCGGUAUGAGAUGGCGAUGCGUCCCAUUAGCUUGUUGGCGGGGUAACGGCCCACCAAGGCAUCGAUGGGUAGGGGUUCUGAGAGGAAGGUCCCCCACAUUGGAACUGAGACACGGUCCAAACUCCUACGGGAGGCAGCAGUGAGGAAUAUUGGUCAAUGGGCGGAAGCCUGAACCAGCCAAGUAGCGUGCAGGAAGACGGCCCUCCGGGUUGUAAACUGCUUUUAGUUGGGAAUAAAACGGGGCUCGUGAGCCCCCUUGCAUGUACCAUCAGAAAAAGGACCGGCUAAUUCCGUGCCAGCAGCCGCGGUAAUACGGAAGGUCCGGGCGUUAUCCGGAUUUAUUGGGUUUAAAGGGAGCGCAGGCGGACCUUUAAGUCAGCUGUGAAAUACGGCGGCUCAACCGUCGAACUGCAGUUGAUACUGGAGGUCUUGAGUGCACACAGGGAUGCUGGAAUUCAUGGUGUAGCGGUGAAAUGCUCAGAUAUCAUGAAGAACUCCGAUCGCGAAGGCAGGCAUCCGGGGUGCAACUGACGCUGAGGCUCGAAAGUGCGGGUAUCGAACAGGAUUAGAUACCCUGGUAGUCCGCACGGUAAACGAUGGAUGCCCGCUGUUGGUCUGAAUAGGUCAGCGGCCAAGCGAAAGCAUUAAGCAUCCCACCUGGGGAGUACGCCGGCAACGGUGAAAC